AAUCGCAGAUCAGCAUGCUGCGGUGAAUACGUUCCGGGGCUUGUACACACCGCCCGUCAAACCAUGGGAGUUUGGAGCACCCGAAGUCAGUGGCCUAACCGAAAGGGAGGAGCUGCCGAAGGUGAGCCAGAUAACUGGGGUUAAGUCGUAACAAGGUAGC
rnacentral:rRNA from 1 species